rnacentral:lncRNA from 10 species
UUCUUUAACACCUAACACAUGGCUAGCUCUUAAUCAAUGUUUAAGAACUGCCCUGCAUUUUUAUGAACACGUGGUUAGUUGGAGCUUUGGAUUUUCAACCUUACAUUGAUUGGGACCAGCUGGUAAGAAGCAAUUCUGAAGCCAGAGAGCACAGCCACACGUACAGUCAAAACAGGACAGUCACAUGAACACCAGUACUCCAGAAGGAUGAAACCACACCUUUUCUGAGCACAUGGACUCAGGCCUGGGUAGAGGCCCAGGACCCAGAGCCAGUGAGGGAUAGGCCCGUAGGAAGUCCAGCAGGAAGAAGAGGCUGAGGAGAGAAAGCCAGGAUAAUGAAGACCACUUCAAGGGCAACUGGAAGCUGGUAACAGGACAUGCCCUAAGGCAGCAGGCCCCAACCUUUUUGGCACCAGGGCCUAGUUUCGUGGAAGACAAUAUUUCUACGGAGGCAGGGGAAUGGUUUUGGGAUGAAACUGUUCUACCUCGGAUCAUCAAGCAUUAGGUUCUCAUAGGGAGCACGCAACUACAUCCCUUGCAUGUGGAGUUCACCGUGGGGUUCAUGCUCCUGUGAGAAUCUGAUGCUGCCACUGAUCUGUCCAUGGUCCAGGGGUUGGAGACCCCUGCCUUAAGGGAUAUUUCUUUUACCAUGGAUGAAUUCAUCACCUUCCAACAUCAGCCACAUCAGCUUCUCUCUUCUUAGCACCCUUGAGCAAGUCACAGUUAUAGAGUGCACAGGCAGAAAAAUCACACACACACAGGAGCAUGAGUUACAGUUCUGAACUAUUUUGAGUAAUCAGAAAGUUACCUAAAUAUUAUUUUUUUAAAAAAUUAAGGUCAAUUUAGCACUGAAAUUCUUGACAGAUUAAGAAAAAACUGUAACUUUGAUAAUGUCAUGACUUUGGAUAUUAACUUGGAUUAUUUGACACGUAUUUUAUUACUUAGUUUAAAUGUAGCAGGUCAAAUCAUAUAUUUAGAAAUCCGUUAGCUAUAAAUAGUAAAUACCCAAUAUAAAAUAGUUUAUAAGACAGGAGUUUUUCUAAUCUUCUAAUGCCAGCAUUUAUGAUAUAGUCUACUGCACAGGAAUCUCCAUUCAGUUUAUAAAAAAAAAAGAAGAAAGAAAAGAAAUAUUUAUGAGAUUGAUGCUCCCUACAUUUUGUUCUAUUAGAAACCAAGGCACAGAGAGCUUAUAGAUCAUAGAGCAUCAUCUAGUUCAGUUGAAUAUUUAAGGAAUUAGGCCUGAGUAUGUCCACUCUGAACCGGGCAGUCCCCAGCAUCUUCUUAUCCUUUCUCCUUAUCAUCAGGGACAAUUUCACUGUCAGGUAGCACAUGGGAUGUUUCUUUCAAAAUUUUAAAUGUAUGCAUAAUUACAUUGUUCUUUAGCCUUUCAGAUAUUUCAUGAGAACCUAGCCAAAAUUUUUGACUAACACAUAGUUCUGAGCCAGCAUCUAAUUAGUAUUAUGUAAGCUAUAAUACAACUGAACUCAAACUAAAAUAUUUUUAAAACCAGAAUACGUAUCUUCCCAAAAUGGUAUCUGUUGGUAUAACUGAUAUGCAUAUUUGGUAAAAUUCAUUCUUUAUACCAGAUGUAUAUUUAUUUCAAAGUUAAUGUAUUUUAGGUCAACCUCUAAAAUGUUUCUCUUAACUAGUUUGCUGUGUUCUAACCAAGGCAUAUUAUUUAAAUGACACUCUAUUACUGCCUUUGUGUAUGCAAGAGGAAGCCAGGAGAAAACAAAAUCUUUGUAAAACUUAAAGGUAUUCUGAAUCAGCAGGGUCAGCACUUCAUCAAAAUAGAAAUACGUACAUGCAUGCACACACAAGAAAAACAAUUACUCCCAUAUCGCAUUUUAUCACACAACAAGAUAGAUAAAUAAAACAAUCUAUUGGCAACUAAAUAAAGAAGAGGCACAAAAUAGCUUUUUAUACUUCCCAGAAAAGUCACGAAUCCUUUCAUCUUGUUUCUCUUUCUUUUUCAACCACUGGUUCCUAUCAUCUGAGUAGUCCUCCCAAGGCUGGAAAGGGGGACAGGAUAAAACAAUUUUAGUUUCUUAUUUUUUCAUUUCUUAAGAGAAUGCGUAUGCCUGUCUUAUUAUGAAGCAAUUAACACCAAGAGAAGUAAUAAUCCCUGUGAUUUUGUGAGCACUUAUUAUAUACCAGAUAUUGUCUUAGGCUCUCUCUUCUAUCUCAUUAGAAUCUCCCCACAACCUUAAAAGGUAAAUAGUACCAUCUCUUUUUAUGGAUGGUCAAAUUGAGUAUCUGGAGCUAAGGAAAUGUUGGAGGUAGACAGUUAAUGAACUUGGGCCACCUGUCUGAUCAUACUCACCUCUCCACGUUGUAAUCCUGACCAUGAUCUAUGUACUUCUAUUUAAAGGAUGCAGGACAUCAGGUCAGCAUGUCACAAUUUUGGGUUCAGUAUAUUUUCAUAUAUUUAUAAGGCAUUCAAACAACAAGUAGGACAAGCAUAAACAGAGGUGCCAAAAGAAUUUCCAUUUUCUGUUUCUGUUUUUCCUCUAUCAGAAGCUGCUACUCUCCACAGUGUCAAGACACCUAUAGGACUGUCACAAUCAUGUUCUCCAGGAGCCAGGACUCCUGCCUUUUCACCUCAUACCUGCCAGAGAACACCUUCCCUGUCUUCACCUUCCUGGGAUAGGGUAUCUAGGCAUUUUUUGCUACAAUUUU